rnacentral:lncRNA from 10 species
GUCACCGGCAGGCGGCGCUGCGGUGCGCGAGGCCUCGCACCUGCACGGGAAGCAGCGGAGAGGACGCAGUUUCUUACAGGCAAAAUAAAGAGGAUAAUCCUUCCCUCAUAAGACAGCUUUGAGAAUUGAAUGAAAUUGCUCCUCUAGAGUGCCUUCUACAAGUCCAUACUAUCAUGUAAGUGCUCAAAAAUGUUUUUUUAUUUUUGUCCUCCCCACUCAGUGCUACAGUAACAGAACCUUUGGUCCAGAGCCUGGGAUGUUGCCUUUUGCCCACUGGAAUUCCCAUCUUGGAAGAGUAAGCGCAGGGGAUUGUCCAGACAGCCAGGAGGCCAGCGAAGCCAAGUCCUUCAGUACAGCCUGGGAGCCUCCAGGAAGCUGUUAGGAGUUGCCAUGAUGGGUGCAUUUGGACUCACAGAAUCUGCCUUCCAAUCUCAGUGCUGCUUCUACUCCUUUGCUACCUUAGGUCUUUGAAGACAGGUCCAUACCUUGGGUGUUUGUAUUUGGACAACCACAGACAUUGCCAAGAAAUGUAUCUGUUCUACUUGCACACCUUCACCACCUGGAUGCUGCUUGAGGACACAGAUCUGGUCCAUCAGAUUUCUCUCUGUACUCCUCUCUAUAUUUCGCCAUAUUUGAUAUAGACCCAUCAAUGGCUCCCUAGAAUAAAAUCUCAACUCUUCACUGUGCCCACAGCCCCAGUGACCUUGCCACUUCCAUCAGAGCCCUCACACCAGUGCCCAGACAUACAGACUGACCUCCUGACCAUCCCCCAGAUGUGCUAAGGCCGGUUCUGCUUCUGGACUUCUGAACAGACAUGUUUGGUAAACCCAAACAUUUCAGAUGGUGAAUAGCUCUGAAAGCAAAGUAAGACAGGGUAGGGCAGGAAGGACUUCCAGCAAAGUCACCCCAGGCUGGCCCCUUUC